rnacentral:tRNA from 1 species
GGGCCUAUAGCUCAGUUGGCAGAGCAGUCGGCUCAUAACCGAUCGGUCACAGGUUCGAGUCCUGUUGGGCCCACCA